rnacentral:rRNA from 1 species
UGGGGAAUAUUGGACAAUGGGGGCAACCCUGAUCCAGCCAUGCCGCGUGAGUGAUGAAGGCCUUCGGGUUGUAAAGCUCUUUUGGCGGGGACGAUGAUGACGGUACCCGCAGAAUAAGCCCCGGCUAACUUCGUGCCAGCAGCCGCGGUAAGACGAAGGGGGCAAGCGUUGUUCGGAAUUACUGGGCGUAAAGGGCGCGUAGGCGGUUUGCUUAGUCAGGCGUGAAAGCCCUGGGCUUAACCUGGGAUGUGCGCUUGAUACUGGCAGGCUUGAGUGUGGGAGAGGUUGGUGGAAUUCCCAGUGUAGAGGUGAAAUUCGUAGAUAUUGGGAAGAACACCGGUGGCGAAGGCGGCCAACUGGACCACAACUGACGCUGAGGCGCGAAAGCGUGGGGAGCAGACA